AGCACUCCGACAGCCCUUGGGCCUCUCCUGUAGUCCUGGUGCCCAAGAAAGAUGGGACCACCCGGUUCUGUGUGGACUACAGGCGACUCAACGAGCGGACCACCACUGACGCCUACCCAAUGCCCCGGGUAGACGAAUUACUGGAUCGUAUUGCCAGGGGACGAUAUCUGACCACCAUAGACCUGUGUAAGGGCUACUGGCAGAUCCCCCUGGCCGAGGAUGCUAUCCCCAAGUCGGUAUUUGUCAC